UUCAUGGUAUUUGCCAAAAAAAAAAACAUUUUCAAAAAUAACCCUCAUCUUCUAACGCUAUAUUCUUCUCCUCCCCACUGCUUCUGGUUCGAAAAAUUGAAGCUCUUGUUUUGGAUGAAAGCUACAAACGACACUGGACAAGCAACACGAGAUUUACACCAUAGCACACAGAUCUGAGGGGAAAUCAACUCCAGCGCAAAUUUUCAAGGACGAAGCUAGAAGUUGGAAGAAGUUUCUUUCUUCUUGGCCUUCUGCAACUUUCUAGGUUCCAUAGCUGAGUUUGGAAUAGCGGUCAUCUGAAAAGAAUUUUAGUUACUUAGAAUGAGUACACAGUUCCUGUCGAACGAGGAAUUAUUUUUGCUAAUUCAGGACAUCAUUCGCACACACCAACAACAAACCUCUGUCAUUCUCCAUGAGUUUUUCGAACUGAACAAUGUUGGUAGGCGGUCGAGAGAAAACAAUCCACGAUGUUUAUUUCGUCGUUUAGCCCGCAUCACCAUUUCCGACACCACUUUGGAAGCAGAAUUUGAUGACACAAUGCGUUCGGGAAAAGCACACGUCACUGGGCAAUCUUCUGCAGCAGCUGGUAAACAAAAGGGUAAGAUGAAUCCACGCAAACUUUUCGAUGAUGUCGGAAAUGACUCUGACCGCGAAUCUACGAAUGGUAAAGGAACUAGAUCAUCAAAUGAUACUUCUUGUGCUUCAUCUAGCCCGAAUGCAUGGUGGCGUCGUCCGUACGAAUGAAAUUAAGUCCCAACAUGCAACGUUCCAUAAGUAAUAUUAGGAUAUCCAUUUGGACAAUAAGUCACCUGUGACAUGCUAUUUUCUUUUGCAUUUGUCUGUAGUUUGGAUUGUGUAAGAUAUGUACUCAUGUUUGAAUGUAAGAUUUCUAGACUCACGAACCUCAUUAAGUAGUAUGUAAGCUUAUUAUCAUUUCUGCUCUUAUA